GGGGCUAUAGCUCAGUUGGUAGAGCGCUUCAAUGGCAUUGAAGAGGUCGGGAGUUCGAUUCUCCCUAGCUCCA
rnacentral:tRNA from 2 species